rnacentral:rRNA from 1 species
GUGGGGAAUAUUGCACAAUGGGGGAAACCCUGAUGCAGCAACGCCGCGUGAGUGAUGACGGCCUUCGGGUUGUAAAGCUCUGUCUUCAGGGACGAUAAUGACGGUACCUGAGGAGGAAGCCACGGCUAACUACGUGCCAGCAGCCGCGGUAAUACGUAGGUGGCGAGCGUUGUCCGGAUUUACUGGGCGUAAAGGGAGCGUAGGCGGACUUUUAAGUGAGAUGUGAAAUACCCGGGCUCAACUUGGGUGCUGCAUUUCAAACUGGAAGUCUAGAGUGCAGGAGAGGAGAAUGGAAUUCCUAGUGUAGCGGUGAAAUGCGUAGAGAUUAGGAAGAACACCAGUGGCGAAGGCGAUUCUCUGGACUGUAACUGACGCUGAGGCUCGAAAGCGUGGGGAGCAAACAGGAUUAGAAACCCCAGUAGUCC